GACCCCUGGCAAUGGGCAAGGGGAUACCUGAUUGGUGGAGUUGCUCUUAGAUCACUCAGGGGCAAAGCAGAUGUAUGCUCCUUAGCUCUUCCCAGUUUGAUGCCUGUGUCGGUGGCCAGAGCUGUUCAUGCCUGGGGCACAUAA
rnacentral:snoRNA from 1 species